GACCUGACUGUAUGUACAUCAGGAAGGAUUUUGGGGCUGGUCCCCUGCAGCUCCAAUACAACAUCCGACAAGGUGGGAGCAGUGGAAGCACGAGGGGCAGACGAAGCGGACGAAAGGCAUAGACCCCACAGACCUUUAGCCUCAGCCUUCAUCAAGUUGGAAAGGAGAGAAGCAUCACCUGAAAUUGUAGAGUGGGAGCCAAGGAGGCGAGAAAGGACGGUCAGGUGGGUGCCUCCGCCGAACACAGCACACUGUGACACAGCCUCGAACAUAAACCCUCUGUCAGCCCCUCCACCCCUGACCCAGGCCCACCUGCAGCUGCUCGGGAGGCCCAAAGGGCAGCCUCCUUGUCACGGGUGCUGGUUGGGCAGAUGGGGGUGUGUGGUGAGGAGGUUGCCCCUGGAGACCAGGAAUUUCAUUUCCAUGGAAGGUUCAGAUUCCAUCCAUCCUCAGUCCUGGGGAGGGGUUGCAGAGGAUGUCUGGGUAUGUCAUCGAUAUUCCCAGCUAAGUCCAUCGUUAGGGAGGAGCUGUGUGUCUCCUCAGUGUGUGUCAGUAUGUCAUUGUGGAAGGGGUGAGCAGGCCUGUUUCACACAGGGAUAUGAUGGAGCUGGGACCCCUUUGCAGGCUUGGGACUGGUGGGGAGUGUCCCGAAUGCCACCACAUCUACAGCACAGGAGUCUGACGGGGUUUGGGGUCAGGAAUGGGAACUGGAUGGGAGGAGAAUCCUGUUUCUCCCAAGCAGAUAGAUCUCUCCACAGGCCCUAAGCUCCAGCACCCUUCCUUUGGCAGGAUCUUGUGGAAGGUAUAGUAGAUGGUGAGUGUUUAGUCUCCAUAAUGAGUUGGAGGAGGGCAGGUGUCACCUGGAGGAGUGUAGGUAUGUGGGCUCUUGUCAGCUGGAUAGACCCGCCAGGCCCCAGGUGGGUGGAGGGGCGGUCACUGCUUCCAGAAGUUUUGCCCUGAGUCCAAGUGUGAGAGUCUGACAGACACUCAGAAUCCCACAUCCCUCAUGUACAGAAAGCAUCAUUUGCACACGGUGGCCCCACCAGGCAGGACACAUACUGUACUCUUAC
rnacentral:lncRNA from 12 species